AGCGUACACGGUGGAUGCCCUGGCAGUCAGAGGCGAUGAAGGACGUGCUAAUCUGCGAUAAGCGUCGGUGAGGUGAUAUGAACCGUUAUAACCGGCGAUUUCCGAAUGGGGAAACCCAGUGUGUUUCGACACACUAUCAUUAACUGAAUCCAUAGGUUAAUGAGGCGAACCGGGGGAACUGAAACAUCUAAGUACCCCGAGGAAAAGAAAUCAACCGAGAUUCCCCCAGUAGCGGCGAGCGAACGGGGAGGAGCCCAGAGCCUGAAUCAGUGUGUGUGUUAGUGGAAGCGUCUGGAAAGGCGUGCGAUACAGGGUGACAGCCCCGUACACAAAAAUGCACAUAUUGUGAGCUCGAUGAGUAGGGCGGGACACGUGGUAUCCUGUCUGAAUAUGGGGGGACCAUCCUCCAAGGCUAAAUACUCCUGACUGACCGAUAGUGAACCAGUACCGUGAGGGAAAGGCGAAAAGAACCCCGGCGAGGGGAGUGAAAAAGAACCUGAAACCGUGUACGUACAAGCAGUGGGAGCCUCUUAAUGGGGUGACUGCGUACCUUUUGUAUAAUGGGUCAGCGACUUAUAUUCUGUAGCAAGGUUAACCGAAUAGGGGAGCCGAAGGGAAACCGAGUCUUAACUGGGCGUUAAGUUGCAGGGUAUAGACCCGAAACCCGGUGAUCUAGCCAUGGGCAGGUUGAAGGUUGGGUAACACUAACUGGAGGACCGAACCGACUAAUGUUGAAAAAUUAGCGGAUGACUUGUGGCUGGGGGUGAAAGGCCAAUCAAACCGGGAGAUAGCUGGUUCUCCCCGAAAGCUAUUUAGGUAGCGCCUCGUGAAUUCAUCUCCGGGGGUAGAGCACUGUUUCGGCAAGGGGGUCAUCCCGACUUACCAACCCGAUGCAAACUGCGAAUACCGGAGAAUGUUAUCACGGGAGACACACGGCGGGUGCUAACGUCCGUCGUGAAGAGGGAAACAACCCAGACCGCCAGCUAAGGUCCCAAAGUCAUGGUUAAGUGGGAAACGAUGUGGGAAGGCCCAGACAGCCAGGAUGUUGGCUUAGAAGCAGCCAUCAUUUAAAGAAAGCGUAAUAGCUCACUGGUCGAGUCGGCCUGCGCGGAAGAUGUAACGGGGCUAAACCAUGCACCGAAGCUGCGGCAGCGACACUAUGUGUUGUUGGGUAGGGGAGCGUUCUGUAAGCCUGUGAAGGUGGCCUGUGAGGGUUGCUGGAGGUAUCAGAAGUGCGAAUGCUGACAUAAGUAACGAUAAAGCGGGUGAAAAGCCCGCUCGCCGGAAGACCAAGGGUUCCUGUCCAACGUUAAUCGGGGCAGGGUGAGUCGACCCCUAAGGCGAGGCCGAAAGGCGUAGUCGAUGGGAAACAGGUUAAUAUUCCUGUACUUGGUGUUACUGCGAAGGGGGGACGGAGAAGGCUAUGUUGGCCGGGCGACGGUUGUCCCGGUUUAAGCGUGUAGGCUGGUUUUCCAGGCAAAUCCGGAGAAUCAAGGCUGAGGCGUGAUGACGAGGCACUACGGUGCUGAAGCAACAAAUGCCCUGCUUCCAGGAAAAGCCUCUAAGCAUCAGGUAACAUCAAAUCGUACCCCAAACCGACACAGGUGGUCAGGUAGAGAAUACCAAGGCGCUUGAGAGAACUCGGGUGAAGGAACUAGGCAAAAUGGUGCCGUAACUUCGGGAGAAGGCACGCUGAUAUGUAGGUGAAGCGACUUGCUCGUGGAGCUGAAAUCAGUCGAAGAUACCAGCUGGCUGCAACUGUUUAUUAAAAACACAGCACUGUGCAAACACGAAAGUGGACGUAUACGGUGUGACGCCUGCCCGGUGCCGGAAGGUUAAUUGAUGGGGUUAGCGGCAACGCGAAGCUCUUGAUCGAAGCCCCGGUAAACGGCGGCCGUAACUAUAACGGUCCUAAGGUAGCGAAAUUCCUUGUCGGGUAAGUUCCGACCUGCACGAAUGGCGUAAUGAUGGCCAGGCUGUCUCCACCCGAGACUCAGUGAAAUUGAACUCGCUGUGAAGAUGCAGUGUACCCGCGGCAAGACGGAAAGACCCCGUGAACCUUUACUAUAGCUUGACACUGAACAUUGAGCCUUGAUGUGUAGGAUAGGUGGGAGGCUUUGAAGUGUGGACGCCAGUCUGCAUGGAGCCGGCCUUGAAAUACCACCCUUUAAUGUUUGAUGUUCUAACGUGGGCCCCUAAUCGGGGUUGCGGACAGUGUCUGGUGGGUAGUUUGACUGGGGCGGUCUCCUCCUAAAGAGUAACGGAGGAGCACGAAGGUUGGCUAAUCCUGGUCGGACAUCAGGAGGUUAGUGCAAUGGCAUAAGCCAGCUUGACUGCGAGCGUGACGGCGCGAGCAGGUGCGAAAGCAGGUCAUAGUGAUCCGGUGGUUCUGAAUGGAAGGGCCAUCGCUCAACGGAUAAAAGGUACUCCGGGGAUAACAGGCUGAUACCGCCCAAGAGUUCAUAUCGACGGCGGUGUUUGGCACCUCGAUGUCGGCUCAUCACAUCCUGGGGCUGAAGUAGGUCCCAAGGGUAUGGCUGUUCGCCAUUUAAAGUGGUACGCGAGCUGGGUUUAGAACGUCGUGAGACAGUUCGGUCCCUAUCUGCCGUGGGCGCUGGAGAACUGAGGGGGGCUGCUCCUAGUACGAGAGGACCGGAGUGGACGCAUCACUGGUGUUCGGGUUGUCAUGCCAAUGGCACUGCCCGGUAGCUAAAUGCGGAAGAGAUAAGUGCUGAAAGCAUCUAAGCACGAAACUUGCCCCGAGAUGAGUUCU
rnacentral:rRNA from 1 species